rnacentral:misc_RNA from 1 species
GCGGUGCUCAUUUGGGUUGUCCUUGCGUCCCCUCGCGACUGUUUUGUAGUUGUGUGGGUGAAUGUUGGCACGGUCCUUGUGAUGCGGUACGUGAUGGCGUGUGAGUGGUGUUUGGUUUGUGUGGUUGGCGGGCUCUUUGCUUGUGCAUUGAACCGUUCACUAGCAUACCUCUUCAUGGUUUGUUCCAAGUGCAUCUUGUGCCUUGGGCGAAGUGCGGUCCCUAUGUUGCAUUCCUAAUGACGGUAUUGUUGCUGUCCCUCUAAUGAGUGAUUUCCGCUCCACGUCCGUAAAAGGAGGUCGAGCGGACAGCGGAACUUGGAUCGUCAUCCACCCGUCAAGCGAAAACAAGCACGGCGGGCUUGGAUUUAUGAUCUCAAGUUGGGCCCCUUGGAUACAGAAAGUUGUGUGGGUUUCGAUAUUGAAACRUCGCAAGCCCAAAGCGUUGUUCGCUAACGAUGGAUGACAUUCGAGCGCGUUCUGACUCUUUCUUGUUCGAAAGGGAUCAUGCGUGCCGAUGYCGGCCGAGGAGUGCUACCUGGUUGAUCCUGCCAGUAGUCAUAUGCUUGUCUCAAAGAUUAAGCCAUGCAUGUGUAAGUAUGAAC